rnacentral:rRNA from 1 species
GUGGGGAAUAUUGGACAAUGGGCCACAAGCCUGAUCCAGCAAUUCUGUGUGCACGAUGAAGGUCUUCGGAUUGUAAAGUGCUUUCAGUUGGGAAGAAGAAAGUGACGGUACCAACAGAAGAAGCGACGGCUAAAUACGUGCCAGCAGCCGCGGUAAUACGUAUGUCGCAAGCGUUAUCCGGAUUUAUUGGGCGUAAAGCGCGUCUAGGCGGAAAAAUAAGUCUGAUGUUAAAAUGCGGGGCUCAACUCCGUAUUGCGUUGGAAACUGUUUUUCUAGAGUACUGGAGAGGUGGGCGGAACUACAAGUGUAGAGGUGAAAUUCGUAGAUAUUUGUAGGAAUGCCGAUGGAGAAGUCAGCUCACUGGACAGAUACUGACGCUAAAGCGCGAAAGCGUGGGGAGCAAACAGGAUUAGAUACCCGAGUAGUCC